UUAUACAUAAAAUGUGUUGAGAAUACACUUUCGUUUAGACUAAUCGAUUGAUGCUCAAAAUUUGUAUAUUCCCAAUUCAAUUCUGAGUAUAUUUGGGUUGCCAAUAUUCAAAUAGAAACUAAAACUCGAUUACGCAGCUCUGUAUAAAAAGUAGUUGUUGUUGCAAUGCUUUUGGCAGGGGAUGUCAUAGCAAAAAAGCUCAUCCGUACGGUAUUUGACUGGUGGUUUGAGAAAUUAUAAUUCCAAUGAAAAAUGGUUUUAUGAGUAUCUCAAAUACUUAAAUCGUUAAUAAACGUCUUUAAAUUAAGCAGAAGGACAUUAUUCGUUUGUUGCUUCGGGAUCCCAUUUGAAAGGGAACAGGAAAUGUACAGAAAUCGCGUUGCGAGGAACACAGGGAGAUAUAAAAAAAAUGUUCCGACACGAUUUAUACUAAGUGGUGGAGGACGGACAGCAACCGAAACUCAACGGAUCGGAAUACAAAGAAGAAAAACUAGACGUUAACCUACAUGAAGGUUCACUAAUAAUUGCUAAAAGAAGUUAACGUUCCAAAAAUGGUUCAAAGAAAACAGGAAUAAAAUGAGCCUGAUAGAUCGGAAAAGAUAAAAGCCGGAAGAAUUCUCGUGCAUUGCAAUGAAGCAGGAUGCUAACUACUUGGCUGAGAACCCUCUGUGGAAAGUCUACUUUCGGUGUUCUUCGAAGCGCACCCAAAGGAUAAGGGCAUCGUAUAGUGCGUGGGCUAUCAGAAAUAUAUGCAGAAAUAUAUUCGGUGCUGCGAGACGCCGGCGGCCAACUUUUAAUUGUGGCCCCUUAACUACGGAACAUGCCCGGAAUUUGCUGCCGUAAUCGCCCAGUACACCAUCUGUAAUCUACAAAAUACAGAUCCAGUGCCAUCUAAAGCAAAAGGAUUGCUCGAGCGGAAGUCUUACUUUUCGAGAUAACCAGAAUAUCACUGGAAUGCUUUGGCUGCAAAAUACUAUUCGAUACACCGAUACUAUUUCAUGUAAUAUAUUGUUUAUGUUUGUAAAAUGAUUCUAAAGACAAUAAAAAC